rnacentral:rRNA from 1 species
GAUCAUGGUUCAGGAUGAACGCUAGCUACAGGCUUAACACAUGCAAGUCGAGGGGCAGCAUGAACUUAGCUUGCUAAGUUUGAUGGCGACCGGCGCACGGGUGAGUAACACGUAUCCAACCUGCCGAUGACUCGGGGAUAGCCUUUCGAAAGAAAGAUUAAUACCCGAUGGCAUAGUUCUUCCGCAUGGUAGAACUAUUAAAGAACUUCGGUCAUCGAUGGGGAUGCGUUCCAUUAGG